rnacentral:lncRNA from 1 species
GGCUCUUCAGCGAAAGCCCUUGUCAGUUUAAAAGAGGGAAGUUUAUCUAACACAUGGAAUGAAAAGUACAGUUCUUUACAGAAAACUCCUGUUUGGAAAGGCAGGAAUGCGGGCCCUGCUGUAGAAAUGCCUUUCAGAAAUUCAAAAAGAAGUCGACUCUUUUCUGAUGAAGAUGACAGACAAAUAAAUACAAAGUCACCUAAAAGAAACCAGAGAGUCGCAAUGAUCCCUCAGAAAUUUACAGCAACGAUGUCAACACCAGAUAAGAAAGCAUCACAGAAGAUUGGUUUUCGAUUGCGGAACCUACUCAAGCUUCCCAAAGCACAUAAAUGGUGCAUCUAUGAGUGG